CUGAUUUUGCAAAACAAUAAAUAUACAUCCACUGUCUGUCUUAUGAAAUGGAGGCUGAGGCGGGAGCAUGGCGUGAACCCGGGAAGCGGAGCUUGCAGUGAGCCAAGAUCUCGCCACUGCAAACCAGCCUGGGAGACAGAGCGAGACUCCAUCUCAAAAAAAAACAAAAAAUAAAAAGCAAGACAAAACUUAUUCCUGCCUUAUCACUCAAAGAUAGAGCUUGAGUGAUUGAAGAUGUUCAGGAACUGAUUAUAUACGUGAGGGCAAAGAAGCCAACAUAACACAGAGACUGAGACUCUGAAGAAUGUGAUAUGGAGAUGGAAAAAUGGGGUAAGCCCUGGGCUGCAUGGUAGCAAUUUCUCUAGCAGACCCUAGCAGAAGAAUCCAUCUCACCCUUCUGAGAUUUAUGAAUCCAACUCCCAUCAGGCUAUCUCUGAGGACCUCCAUUUGAGAUUAUUGCACUAGAAUCAAAUGUGUGCAACAAGUUAGCUGGUUAGAAAGCCUGGUUAUGGUUUUAAUGACUGCUAUGCUGAGGUCCUGCCUUGUUAGUCUUUAUAUCAACACCAUGAGUAUCAAGGGAAAUGAAAGGGUGUGGUCAGUUGAAGAAAGGCAAUUAUUUGAAAUUGGUAUAGUACCAGGGCACAGAGAUGAAGAGUAUGUGGUGAAGAAUAAAAAUUGA
rnacentral:lncRNA from 1 species